rnacentral:rRNA from 1 species
CGGCAACAGCUCAAAUUUGAAAUCUGGCCUCUUUGGGGUCCGAGUUGUAAUUUGUAGAGGAUGUUUCGGGUACCGCCUCGGUUUAAAUUUCUUGGAACAGAAUGUCAAAGAGGGUGAGAAUCCCGUCUAGAACCGACGGCCGCGUCCAUGUGAAACACCUUCGAC